UGUCUUGGCAUGGUGCUGGAGCACGUAGCACCGAGUCCGUCAGCAAUCAAGUUCAUAGACUCACUGAGGGUUCACCAUCUCUUUGGUCACUUGGUCCCUGAAGCACAGCUCUUUUUCCACAAAAGGCACUUUGUGGUUUCCAUACCCACUUCUCUGUGCUGACCUAUCACAGAGUAGAGACCACAGGACUCUCUUCUGGGACUAGCUUCCUUCAGUAGAAAUAUUGGUCACAUGGAUCCAGCCGAUACCUAAAUUAUAAGAAGAACAGGUAGGAAAAGAUGUUCCCAGCUGAAGACUAGGUCCUGUGACACUCUGGGCAAGACCGUGCAGGGAUGACCCAUAGGUGCCCACCAACGCAUCGUCAGCAGCCGCUGUUGAGUUUACACAGAACUGGCAGGCAUCCCAACGGCCCAAAGCAGAGGAAAAAGGAAUUCACCUCCAUCUGCAUUAUCAGCUCGUAGUGAUUCCCAAUAACAAACUCUUCAGCUUUGCAAACAGCUAAAGUGUGCAUUGUCCAUUAUGCAUGACAUUAUCCAAUUAUACAUUUCCUGAAGUUCUUUUAGGAGUAUAGGGCCUUUACAUAUGAUUUCAAUGCACCCUGAGCACUUGUCUAUGGUAGAAGAUUAUGUUUGGAACCAGUGCAGAGAAAAAUGUUUAUAAUGCUUAACUUGCUCUAUUUUUUAAAGGUGAGUAAUUGGUAUUUGAUUAUUCUAGUGCACAGUCAUAAUUUCCAUCUCAACAUGUGCUUUAUAUUGCUGGUUUCAUUCACCCAGUGUAGCAGGUGACAAUACUAAUGAUAUAUGAUAACUUCUAAUGGAUAUUUACUAGAUUUCAGGUACUGGACUAAGCAUUUUACAUGUAUUAUCUCAAUUACUCCUAAUAAAAGCACAAUUAAGUAGGUAUUGUGAUUAUCCUAUUUUUCCAUAUGAGGAAACUAAACACAGAGAACCUAAGUAACCAUGUCCAGCUUACAGAAAUAAUAAGUUGUAAAGGUAAUAGAUGAAUCAAUUAUUUCUGAGACCAGAGAUCGUUCUCUGUUGGAAUACAUUAUGAAAUAUUUUAAUAGAUUUUGGGGGCUGGUUUUGCCUAGAAACAUAAUGUGGGAGAGUAGAUCGAGUGAAGGCUAAG